UGGGGAAUAUUGCACAAUGGGCGCAAGCCUGAUGCAGCCAUGCCGCGUGUAUGAAGAAGGCCUUCGGGUUGUAAAGUACUUUCAGCGGUGAGGAAGGGAGUAAAGUUAAUACCUUUGCUCAUUGACGUUACCCGCAGAAGAAGCACCGGCUAACUCCGUGCCAGCAGCCGCGGUAAUACGCAGGGUGCAAGCGUUAAUCGGAAUUACUGGGCGUAAAGCGCACGCAGGCGGUUUGUUAAGUCAGAUGUGAAAUCCCCGGGCUCAACCUGGGAAAUGCGUCUGAUACUGGCAGGCUUGAGUCUCGUAGAGGGGGGUAGAAUACAAGGUGUAGCGGUGAAAUGCGUAGAGAUCUGGAGAAAUACCGAUGGCGAAGGCGUCCACCUGAACGAAGACUGACGCUCAGGUGCGAAAGAGUGGGGAGCAAACAGG
rnacentral:rRNA from 1 species